AAUGAAGAGUUUGAUCCUGGCUCAGGACGAACGCUGGCGGCGUGCUUAACACAUGCAAGUCAAGGGGAAAGGGUUCUUCGGAGCCUGAGUAUACUGGCGGACGGGUGAGUAACGCGUAGGCAACCUGCCCUCAAGAUUGGGAUAACCUCUGGAAACGGGGGCUAAUACCGAAUGUGGUCUUGGUAGUGCAUGCUACCGAGAUUAAAGCUGGGCAACUAGCGCUUGAGGAUGGGCCUGCGUUCCAUUAGCUAGUUGGUGAGGUAACGGCUCACCAAGGCGACGAUGGAUAGCUGGUCUGAGAGGAUGAUCAGCCACACUGGGACUGAGAUACGGCCCAGACUCCUACGGGAGGCAGCAGUGGGGAAUAUUGCGCAAUGCCCGCAAGG
rnacentral:rRNA from 1 species